CCCCUUUUAAAAGCACUUUUGCUAAUGACCCACUGAGCUGUCAAAAAAGGGCAAGUAAAAACACCGCUUUUGGGUGAAGCAGCAGCUGUUGAAUUGUUUUGCUUCAAUCUGUGAAGAGGUGUUA